GACGAACGCUGGCGGCGUGCCUAAUACAUGCAAGUAGAACGCACAGUUUAUACCGUAGCUUGCUACACCAUAGACUGUGAGUUGCGAACGGGUGAGUAACGCGUAGGUAACCUGCCUGGUAGCGGGGGAUAACUAUUGGAAACGAUAGCUAAUACUGCAUAAUAUUAAUUAUUGCAUGAUAAUUAAUGGAAAGGUGCAAUUGCACCACUACCAGAUGGACCUGCGUUGUAUUAGCUAGUAGGUGAGGUAACGGCUCACCUAGGCGACGAUACAUAGCCGACCUGCGAGGGUGAUCGGCCACACUGGGACUGAGACACGGCCCAGACUCCUACGGGAGGCAGCAGUAGGGAAUCUUCGGCAAUGGACGAAAGCCUGACCGAGCAACGCCGCGUGAGUGAAGAAGGUUUUCGGAUCGUAAAGCUCUGUUGUAAGAGAAGAACGGGUGUGAGAGUGGAAAGUUCACACUGUGACGGUAUCUUACCAGAAAGGGACGGCUAACUACGUG
rnacentral:rRNA from 1 species